CUUGUAGUACAUGCUAGUAGCUUCUAGCGGAAGGUAAACAGACAUCUUGAUCAACAUGGCAGAGGCCUGUUUUCUGGACGUGCGUCUGAUUAAAAAGCUGAACAGUGACAGCUCUCUGACCCACAGCUUGCAGGACAUGAGGCAGCAGGCAGCCGUUGCUGCCAAAGUCUUCAUUCAGAGAGAUUACACCAACGGCACCGUGUGCCACUUCCAGACCAAGUUCCCCUCUGAGCUGGAGUCCCGGAUCGACAAGCAGCAGUUUGAGGAGACGGUGCGGACGCUGAACAACCUGUACGCCGAAGCGGAGAAGCUGGGAAGCCAGUCGUACAUUGAAGGCUGUCUGGCCUGCCUCACGGCGUACAUCAUCUUCCUGUGUAUGGAGACUCACUACGAGAAGGUUUUGAAGAAGAUCGCAAAGUACAUACAGGAGCAGAAUGACAAGAUCUACGCACCGCGAGGCCUCCUGCUCACCGAUCCCAUCGAGAGAGGCCUGCGAGUCAUUGAGGUUACCGUGUUUGAAGAGAGAAGCCUGACGAGAUAAAAGCUGCCACGGUGAGUCUGACUUUCUAAAAUCAAUCAAUCUGUGGCUCAGAGGUAGAGGGAGUCGUCCCCUUAACAGAAGCUGUUUGUCUGAGCAGAGCUACCAGGUCCACAGCAGCCCAGCACCAGUACCCACCUCCCAGAGGACACCCCCCAGACCUGCACCCUUAAUACUGCGUCUCUACAAUCUAGCCCAUUCCACUAACUAUCAUUCAGAGGAGCAUCCUUUGUGUCCAAGUUCACUUAUUUACGGUAACUAUUAUUGUGUCAUUAUUUGUGACAUGACUUUCCCCGUACAUUAUGAGGGUCGUUAUUAGGUUGGAGAAAAACUAAUUCACGUACACAAUUUAUUGACAAUCUUCUAGCCAUGAGUUAUUAUAUCCUUUAAUUUGGACUGAAAACAACUUUUUAACAUUUAUUUUUGGACACUCCUUUUUGAAUAAUUAAGUGAACUGACAGGGUAACUUAUUUUUUAUAUGGAAUUCAUCCACACCCAUGCUUUAAGUGAUUGUCUUAGCUGUACUGAAGAUAUCAUUUCAUCAAGAAAUAGAAGUCUGGUUGUUACGGUUUAUUUGCUUUAUUCUUAUUUGUGUAUUCUUGCAGGGGAGUUUGGUAGUUUAUCAUCUUUCCUGCAUGUGUACUUUGCAGCGUUUGACCUUAACUGACAUCGCUUUGUCAGGAUCCAAACAUUCCAAUCAAACAGACUCUGACCGUAACGUACUUCUUUUAUUUAUAAAAGAAAAGCCAAAAGCUGUGCUCGCUCUGUAUUAAGCAUGUAAUAUUAUUAAUGCUACUUCUCAAGUUGUUGUUUUUCUGUAAACUGUGCUAUGCAUAGUGUUUUGGUGACUACUGUUCAUUUUUUGACUCGUGUUGAAUAAGCAUAAAUUCCUAUAUUGUGAGGUUGCCUUCGAUCGAAGUAAUCAAAGUGCUCUUGUUAGUUGACAGUGCCUGUGAUGGUUUUGAAUGUUGCCUUUGUCAAAGUCUAAAGGGCUGGUCACCCCAGAGUUUUCCACAGAUCUUAAUUCAUUCCAAUGGAAUUUUUUUCCGCUCGCAGUGGAUUUGCACCAUCAAAUUUAGUUUAACCUGCUCUGUCCAAGUAUAAGCGGUUCCACAAAAGAACAAUGGUUUGCAGACAGUAAAGAGACCGGAGUCAAUGGUGCAAAUAUGUCCUUUGAAUAAACUGUGUGGAGUUAUUAUCCCGUUAGCUAGGGGGGGGGGGAAUCAACAGAGCAGGAGAGGGAAAAUCUCCAGCCGGUGGGGUUAGCUCCAGAGUGUUGCUCUGCGGCACUGCCCCAGCUAGCCCUGCGGUUAUAGUCACUGGAGCUACGUUAGCUAGGUUCUAAAAACAAACACUUUGCAUAAAUGCACAGAUUAGUUUCACUGCACCUCUUUCUGGAGUGACCAAACCUAAACUGUGAAAUCAUGUCAGUCACAAUGUGGCUUUGUUCACUUAUUGCUAAAAAAGCAUCUUAAACCUGAGAUGAUGAUUUAAUGUCAUUGAAACCUUAACAAAGUUUGAAGAAACAACUGUAGUGCGUAUGGCUGGUGAAUUAUGAAAUAACUACAUGUACAAGUAUAGAUUUCUGAAUGGCAUAGUUGUUAGAACAAAUAUCUUGAUUUCUAAAUAUGUAAAUAUAAUUGUAUUCAUAAUGUUUUGAUUUAGCUCAUACUUUAUUUAUCUGGACUUCUGUUAAUUAGACUUUUCUAUGUUCUGUUUUUCAGUUGAAAUCCAACAUGUUAUUAAUCUAAAACUUGUAUGCUAACAAAUAAAAUGUGUACAUAUUUUACAUCCUGCUGGCUUCUCUUAUUGCACCUUUUAUGCGGCCAUUGACUGCCUGCUGAUCCUCACUCAUGACUCUGAACGGGCCGCUAGUGUUAACACAGCUGAAGCCCAGCCGCUGACCAGAGACACACAGUAGGGGGGAACCAUUAACUGUGUGUCUAUGGGGGAAACUGUUCGCCCAGUUUUAUCUAUGUGGACGUUGUGUUUGGCUAACAGCUAACGGAGCUACACACACGGUUGCUCUUUUACCUUUUUAUUGGACAUCAACCUCGCGUUAACACAAGUAUUGACGAAAAUUGACUUAAAGCCUAAAUAAAGGCUUUAAAUGAAGCUGGUUGUGUUCAUUCAAUCACACAACCCAGCAGCGGUUGUUGUAGACACACCUGGAGAAGAUCUGCUCUCAGCUGACUGCACCUUUCUACUUUCAGAUUUUAAGGGCGAUAUUUUGUGUCGUCUCUUAAGCCUGUUUCCCACUGAACAAACCCCCUUUCUAUUGAGCCUUUUUCUUUUAAAUUGAACUUUAUAUAUUUACU